rnacentral:rRNA from 1 species
UACGAAGGGUGCAAGCGUUAAUCGGAAUUACUGGGCGUAAAGGGUGCGUAGGCGGUUGUUUAAGUCUGUCGUGAAAUCCCCGGGCUCAACCGCGGAUUGUCGUUGGAAACUGCCUCGCUAGAGUCCGGAAGAGGAGAGCGGAAUUCCUGGUGUAGCGGUGGAAUGCGCAGAUAUCAGGAAGAACACCCGUGGCGAAGGCGGCUCUCUGGGACGGUACUGACGCUGAGACGCGAAAGCGUGGGGAGCGAACAGG